CUAUCCGCUGCGCUCUGUCCACAGCUGGAUGUCGGAAAUGGUAGUUGCGUGCAGCUUUCAAGGAGCCGCCCCCGCCCUCGCGGAAACUUUGCAUCUAUAAGGGGCGGUUCCCGGAAGGCGGGUAACGCCGAGUUCUGCUACCCUGCUACUUGGGAGACCCAGGUGCGUCCCGGCGCGGUGACCCACUUCUAGGAGUUGACGUUUUUUUCAGUUUGCUUGAAGCCGGAGGCAAUGGUGUCAGCUAAGAGAAUGACUUGUGGCUGGGAUCGUCCCUUCCAAGAAGCUCUCGGUCGCAUUCCAGCGUCUCGGUGGAGUCGAUGGUGGUACAAGAGUCAUAGCCCGCUCCGGAGAAGAGAUGAAAUGGAGCUAUUAGCACUAGCAAAAGCCUGCACAGCUAAAUCCUUAGGAAUAGCCAACCUUGACCUGCCAGCUAGUCUCAGAACUGUUACUGGAGUUAAAGAAACAGUGGAACAGCUGUACCAAAUACCGCAAAGCUCGAAGUAAACCAGAUUUAUCCAAACAAAACUUUAAGAAAAACUACUCUUAGAAAGAUCUGGUGAACCAUUUUUGUUUGAUUUACCUUAGGUUACACUCCUCAGAAAACCUAGCUGAAUGUAAUUUGCCAAAGUCAAAAUAACAGAUCUGAAAACAGUAGAGAGGCUCUCACUCAUGAAAGUGGAGCAGUAACGAACUUUGUUUUGGGGAACCAACUGGAGCAGAUUGGGACUGUUCCCGAAAGUCCCAUUUUCUAAGACAUCUGUCCUGGGUGAAAAUGCCCUGGUUUUCAGCAGUGAGUGCAAAUAUUUGAGGGGAGCGCAGGGGUACAAAACCUAUAUUGUGGCCCUCCCAAGAGAGGCUGAAGACAACACCCUUUUUUAUGAAUGAAUAUGGUGAUUGUCUGCCUUCUGUUAACCACUGAUACCGGCAAUCUGGAUUUGUGUGGUUCACAUAGUAUAUCUACAUAACAUAGCAUUCUCUCAGAGCAGCUUAAAUUCCAGACAGGAGCGUUAACAGGCCAGUUAACUUUUGUGCUUUGCAUGGAGAUAGUGCUCAUGUAAUUUUUAACUUUGUGAAUAUUGAGACCAUGGUUUCUAAGAGUUCAGAUAUGAAAAUGAGAAUGAGUUCAAUACCAAUGCCAGCCUGACAGUACCAAAAAGAAGACUAAAUGGCCCUGGUUUUUCUUUCUUUCUUCUUCUUUCUUUCUUUCUUUCUCUCUUUCUCUCUUUCUCUCUUUAUCUCUUUCUCUCUUUCUCUCUUUCUCUUCCUCUCUCUCUCUCUUUCUCUCUCUUUCUCUCUCUCUCUCUCUUUCUUUCUCUCUCUCUCUCUCUUUCUCUCUUUUUAGGGCCACACUCGAGGCCUAUGGAGGUUCCCAGGCUAGGGGUCCAAUUGGAGCUGUAGCCACUGGCCUACGCCACAGCCACAGCAACUCCGGAUCCGAACCUGUGUCAUCAUGAAUACUAGUUGGGUUGGUUAACCACUGAGCCAUGACGGGAACUCUGGCUCUGUUAUUUUAAUGACAGAUAGAAGGACACUGGAUUAGGGAUGUAAAUAAUCCAGCAUACUGUACAAUAUGCAGGAAAAGAAUUUGGGGUUGGCCAUGGUGGAGAAGGGGAUGUGAAAACACGUAUGGAGACUGAAUCCCACAAGUCUGGAAUGAGACAAGCAGGCACUUUUGAAUCAAUACAGUGUUUUCAUUGCCCUGAAGGACACCAGCACUCAGUCAAAAAUAGCAGCUGCUGAAUUAGCUUGGGCAUACCACGAAAGGAUGAACAUGCCUUGUCCUAUUGCUCCCUUGAUUGCUUAGUGAAACUGAAUAAAGUUAUAUUUCCAGA
rnacentral:lncRNA from 1 species